rnacentral:lncRNA from 1 species
AAUUAUCCUUGGAAAUGACAUUCUUAAACCAGACAUAUUUAAGCCAUGUCUAUCACCCUGAGUCUCAAGAGGCUGAGGCAGAAGGACUCUUGUUAAAUUUGAAGCCAGUCUGGGCUAUAUAAUGAGUUCCAGGCCAGCCUGGGCUACCAUGUGAGGAUUCAUCUUCCACUCCUACUCCCCUGUCUCCACCACAAAAGAAACUAAAUAGCUGCUAGUUUAAGUGAGAUAGUCAAGUUUGGUUUUCUCUAAGGUUCAGUCCAGCUACUUUAGGGACCAUCUCGGAAAGCUUGUUUGUACAAGAGACUAAGGAAAGAUCAUGGAAUGCUAGGGUCAUGGAAAGAGCAGGGAAGCCGGCCUGAAUGUCUCGCACCUGGCCAAAGCCAUGCCAGUUUGAACACUGUGAUAUAUUAUUUUAUAAAUAGUUUAACUCAACCAAUGAUGCAAGGGGUAUAAACCUUUACACAAAGAAUAAACAGCACGAGGAAUCUGUGUCCUCAAGGGAUUGCACCUCCAAAUUCUGAGGUCACAGAGGAGGGGAGAUGAUUGACCGUGCCUGGCGAACCCUGACUUUGGAAAUGAAUCUGAAUAUCACCUAAGGGGUACAAAAUGAAGUUACCCAUCACUGAAAGGCAUAAGCUGCACAGCAGCGCUUGCUGGCUAUUCAUGCCUGUGAUGCCUAGCCAGCUGGGGAAAGCCCAGGGAGUCACUUGCUCUGCUCUGCUCUGCUCUGCUCUGCUCUGCUCUGCUCUCUCAGGCUCGCCUGAGUUGUUAUGGUGAUGCCUUGACUCAGAAGGGCUUAGUCUUCCCUCCUGCAUCCUUAUGCUAGUUUCCUUUGGAAGGGAUGUGAGAUUCUGGGGACCGGAUCCUUUUGCUCUAAGUCCAUUUCUGAGACCACUAGUGGAAUUUUAAUUCCUCCCUCUCCCGCAGGUUUGAAGGCAGCAAUGUGCCCAGUGUUCAUUUUCCCAAUGUUGACGGUUGUGCUGUGGUUUUACUGAAGAAUGCCCCUUGAAGCCAGCCUCCAGCCUCCAGAAGAAGGAUGAAUCUGGCCAUUGCCUUCAUGGUUCGCCCAUCUCUGCUUGUGAGUACAAAUGGCAGAACUGCUGACCUGCUAUCACGUGAAGUCACUCUCCCGCGUCCCUUGUAGAAUUAGAAGCCCAUUUUGAAGGGAUGCUGUGUAACCAACCAGCCACCUCGUGCUUCUGCCACUGUUGCUUCCCCACUGUGAUAGACUGUGCACACUCAAACUGCAAGCCAAAAUAAACCCCACCCUCCUUAGUUGCUUUUCCCAGGAAUUUUGUCACAGCAGUGCUAACAUAAGCCAAGCUUGGGGUUAGGGUCAUUAACCCUAAGAGGGAAAAAAAUGUCUGUUCAAAGAAAGAGUUAUAAACAAAUAAUAGACAUUAAUAGAGUGGCUUUAAGGUAAUUUGUGUCUGUAAAGAAUAAUUCUUUCCUAAAUCUCUGCCUUAGCUUCCCUGUAUACUACCUGUAUAUGCAUGAGUACUCAGAGUUCGUUUUGAUUGGGCAAUCCUUUACAGAAAGAGAUUAUGAAUUCAGUUUGAUCAUGUUUCUCUUUCCUAAAAACAAAGAUAUUCUGGUCCUCUGUCAUCUGACUUGUUUCAAUAACAGCGUGUCUAGUACAGAAAACCACAGCCACACAUCUGCUGCUAAUAAAAGUCCCCGAUCGGCGGAUGCCCAUUGCCCUUCAAAAUGCAUUUCCUUGGCUCCCAAACUGGUUGUGGACCUGGCCAAAGCUUGUUUAUGUUCUCGUCAAGAUACAAUGGGCACUGUGCUUAUUCCAAGAGGAACAAAUGACCAAGUGGAAUCUGUGUCAGCCACUGAAGGUUACCACACAUUUGAGCCUUAAUGACAAGUUGACAGUCUCAUUUAUUAAACUGCUGAACAUGCAGGUUUAAAAAUUUUGUAACAUUUUUCAACUCUUGGUAAAACUUGGUUGCAAAUCUCAAGGCUAAAUGACAUUUGAUAAGCAAAACAGACACAUUUCCAGUAAAAACUGAUUCUUAGAGCAGCAACCUUAGGAGCCCCCCCCCCCUUCUUUUUCCAGGAAACAUUGACUUAGAAGAACUGAGAGCUUUGACUUAAGAAAUAAGCUACUACUAUCUAGCCAAGAACUUCAGCAGGCUCUAGACCCUGCUUGCAGGUACCUAGGUAAAUGAGUUAAGGACAGACUAUAGUCCUCCCUGUAGACAGUGUUGUUUCUAAGCAAAAAUCAGAUAUGUGUGUGUGUGUGCGUGUGUGUGUGUGUGUGUGUAUUUGUGUAACCUGCUUGUGCAACUUGCACUUUCCAAAUAGAGUAAGCAGGAAGGUAAGAAAAUUUCCUGCUAAUCUGGGAAUGAACUUACUCACCAGAAGAGGACGGGGGGUUCUUCAUUAGGAAACCCUAGAAAGACAAUGAAGAUGAGUUACAAGGUCAACUGCAAGGACAGAAAAUAGAAACUUCUGGCACAAUGUGGCAUGUCCAGACAGCCUCAGCAUUUGUUUCCAUAGACUUCUGUGUUGGGCACAAGAGGGGGUCUACUGGCUGAUUAUGGGUGUCAACUUGACACAAGCUGGAGCUAUCACAGAGAAAGGAGCCUCUCUUGAGGAAAUUCCUCCAUGAAAUCCAGCUGUAAGGAUCAGUUAGUGAUCAAGAGUGGGAGGGCCCAUUGUGGGUGGUGCCAUCCCUGGCUGGUUGUCCUGGGUUCUAUAAGAAAGCAAGCUGAGCAAGCCAGGGGAAGCAAGCCAGUGAGUAACCCCUCCAUGGCCUCUGCAUCAGCUCCUGCUUCCUGAUCUGUUCAAGUUCUAGUCCUGACCUCCUUUGGUGAUGGAAUAUGGAAUAU